UGCCUGGUGGCUUUGGGUAGACACCAACCUCUGAGUCUUACCCGGUUAGCAUAACUCUGUUGACCAUCCCUCCCAGCAGGAGGUAAAAACACUGAUGUGGCCCGUCAUAAUUUCGAUCUCCUCACACAGCCUCUAUGCCCCCUCCCAUCAGACGGGCCGGGGUGGGCGUGGCCGUAUGUCACAGAGCCGGGCCAGUACUCGGCGCUCCGAAAUCCCGUAGCGCUCCCAGGUCCUCGCGGGAGGCGUCGGCCCAGGAGGACCCGAGUCCCUAGGUACCGCGAGGAAGCGCACGCGGAGAGGGGUGGCUUUGAAAGUGGGUGGCCUUUCGUGGCUGCCAGCAGCGUCUGUAGCGGUUCGGGUUCAGCCACAGGUCUCAGGUCCCCAAGAGCAAGAGUGAUCAAGUGAAGGAAUGAAGGAAGAAAGAAGAGGUGCUUAGACUUGGAUAUCAUUGCUCCUAGAGACAACUUCAAGCAGACACCGAGCUUUCUGACUCUUAAGAACUUCGUGGCAGAUGCAGGAGAGAUGAAAGACAGAAGAAUCCAUGUUACUGUUUAGUGAGCACAGAAGAAAAUGACGAAGGCCCAGGGGGUCAGGCUACCAAACCACAUGCAUUGUCCAAGCUGGAAACCAGAGGUGAACCAUCGAUAACAGAGGAUGAAAUCCGGGAUAGAACCC